rnacentral:tRNA from 4 species
UGGGUAAUAGCCAAACUGGUAAGGCGCCGGACUCUGAAUCCGCAAUCUGUAGGUUCGAUCCCUACUUACCCAA